AACGAACGCUGGCGGCAGGCUUAACACGUGCAAGUCGAGCGCCCCGCAAGGGGAGCGGCAGACGGGUGAGUAACGCGUGGGAAUCUACCCAUCUCUACGGAAUAACGCAUGGAAACGUGUGCUAAUACCGUAUACGUCCUUCGGGAGAAAGAUUUAUCGGAGAUGGAUGAGCCCGCGUUGGAUUAGCUAGUUGGUGGGGUAAAGGCCCACCAAGGCGACGAUCCAUAGCUGGUCUGAGAGGAUGAUCAGCCACACUGGGACUGAGACACGGCCCAGACUCCUACGGGAGGCAGCAGUGGGGAAUAUUGGACAAUGGGCGCAAGCCUGAUCCAGCCAUGCCGCGUGAGUGAUGAAGGCCCUAGGGUUGUAAAGCUCUUUCACCGGUGAAGAUAAUGACGGUAACCGGAGAAGAAGCCCCGGCUAACUUCGUGCCAGCCGCCGCAGUAAUAC
rnacentral:rRNA from 1 species